rfam:Prunus persica cultivar Lovell chromosome G7, whole genome shotgun sequence.
UUGGGAGCUUACUGUCUUCGGAGUCGGGGGAACUCCGAAGUUAAGCGAGUUGGGGCUAGAGCAAUUCUAGGAUGGGUGACCAACUGGGAAGUUGCUCGUGAGUUCCCAGA